rnacentral:rRNA from 1 species
CAACAUGAGAGUUUGAUCCUGGCUCAGAACGAACGCUGGCGGCAGGCUUAACACAUGCAAGUCGAGCGCCCCGCAAGGGGAGCGGCAGACGGGUGAGUAACGCGUGGGAAUCUACCCUUGACUACGGAAUAACGCAGGGAAACUUGUGCUAAUACCGUAUGUGUCCUUCGGGAGAAAGAUUUAUCGGUCAAGGAUGAGCCCGCGUUGGAUUAGCUAGUUGGUGGGGUAAAGGCCUACCAAGGCGACGAUCCAUAGCUGGUCUGAGAGGAUGAUCAGCCACAUUGGGACUGAGACACGGCCCAAACUCCUACGGGAGGCAGCAGUGGGGAAUAUUGGACAAUGG